rnacentral:rRNA from 1 species
UACGUAGGGAGCAAGCGUUGUCCGGAAUCAUUGGGCGUAAAGCGCGCGUAGGUGGCUUCAUAAGUCCGUUGUAAAAGUCAAAGGCUCAACCUUUGAAAGCCGAUGGAUACUGUGGAGCUAGAGUACGGAAGAGGCGAGUGGAAUUCCUGGUGUAGCGGUGGAAUGCGCAGAUAUCAGGAGGAACACCAAUAGCGAAGGCAGCUCGCUGGGACGUUACUGACACUGAGGCGCGAAAGCGUGGGGAGCGAACAGG